rnacentral:rRNA from 1 species
AGAGGGGGGGAUCUUAGGACCUCCCGCUACAGGGGCGGCCGAUGGCAGAUUAGCUAGUUGGUGGGGUAAAGGCCUACCAAGGCGACGAUCUGUAGCUGGUCUGAGAGGACGACCAGCCACACUGGGACUGAGACACGGCCCAGACUCCUACGGGAGGCAGCAGUGGGGAAUUUUGGACAAUGGGGGAAACCCUGAUCCAGCAAUGCCGCGUGUGUGAAGAAGGCCUUCGGGUUGUAAAGCACUUUUGUCCGGAAAGAAAUCCUCUUGGCUAAUACCGAGGGGGGAUGACGGUACCGGAAGAAUAAGCACCGGCUAACUACGUGCCAGCAGCCGCGGUAAUACGUAGGGUGCAAGCGUUAAUCGGAAUUACUGGGCGUAAAGCGUGCGCAGGCGGUUCGCUAAGACAGAUGUGAAAUCCCCGGGCUUAACCUGGGAACUGCAUUUGUGACUGGCGGG